rnacentral:rRNA from 1 species
AUACGUAGGUGGCGAGCGUUGUCCGGAAUUAUUGGGCGUAAAGGGCGCGUAGCGGGAUAGUCAGUCUGUUGUAAAAGUUCGGGGCUCAACCCCGUGAAGCAAUGGAAACUGCUAUUCUUGAGUGCAGGAGAGGAAAGUGGAAUUCCCAGUGUAGCGGUGAAAUGCGUAGAUAUUGGGAGGAACACUAGUGGCGAAGGCGACUUUCUGGACUGUGUCUGACGCCGAGGCGCGAAAGCCAGGGGAGC